rnacentral:rRNA from 1 species
GAUGAACGCUGGCGGCGUGCCUAAUACAUGCAAGUCGAGCGAACGGACGAGAAGCUUGCUUCUCUGAUGUUAGCGGCGGACGGGUGAGUAACACGUGGAUAACCUACCUAUAAGACUGGGAUAACUUCGGGAAACCGUAGCUAAUACCGGAUAAUAUUUUGAACCGCAUGGUUCAAAAGUGAAAGACGGUCUUGCUGUCACUUAUAGAUGGAUCCGCGCUGCAUUAGCUAGUUGGUAAGGUAACGGCUUACCAAGGCAACGAUGCAUAGCUGACCUGAGAGGGUGAUCGGCCACACUGGAACUGAGACACGGUCCAGACUCCUACGGGAGGCAGCAGUAGGGAAUCUUCCGCAAUGGGCGAAAGCCUGACGGAGCAACGCCGCGUGAGUGAUGAAGGUCUUCGGAUCGUAAAACUCUGUUAUUAGGGAAGAGCAUAUGUGUAAGUAACUAUGCACAUCUUGACGGUACCUAAUCAGAAAGCCACGGCUAACUACGUG